rnacentral:rRNA from 1 species
UAGAAUGUAAAAAAAAAUUUAAAUCCUUAACUUAAACAAAAAUAAAAAAGUAAAACCAAAAGAAUAUAUAAAAAUUUAACUGAAAAGGAAAUAAAAAUUCUACAAGUAAAAUUUAAAUAUUUGUACCUUUUGUAUCAUGAAUUUCUAAAUCCAAAAAAUAAAAAUUUUAAUCCCGAAAGCAUAGCGAGCUAUAUGAAACCUAUAUUUUAAUUAAAUAAAAGAAUAUUGUCUACCUCUUUUGUGGAAUAAAAAGAAAAAGAAUUUCUUAUAGAAGUUAAAUGCUUCCGCGCAUGCUGAUAGCUGGUAUAUACCUAAAAAUAUAUAAGUAUUCUCUUAUUAAUCAUAUAAGAGGAAAAUAAGACAGGACAAGCUGUCUUAUAAGAAGUAAAAUAAUACUUAAAAGAUUUAAAAUUAAUUUAAUAUUAAUAAUGUUUAAAAUAAAACAACCUGUUACAAGGAAAAUUAUAUUUAAAUCUAUAAUAAUAUAAAAUUUUACUCACAAAUUAGGUAUAAUAAAAAAAUAACUCAAGAAAUUUUUAUAAACUGGAAAUAUUAGUAUUAUUAUAAAAACAUAGAACUACUAUUUUAUUAACUAAAAUUAAUCUAAAUAACUAGGCAAAACUCCAUUCUGUCUGUUUAUCAAAAACAUAGCUGGAAGAAAUCAUUUUCAGUGGCGCCUACCCAGUGAAUUUUUUCAACGGAUCUAGUUUUAUUAAAGUAGCGAAAUCAUUUGUCUUUUUAUUGAAGACCUGUAUGAACGGUAUAAACAGAAAGGAACUAUUUCAAAUUAAAAAAGAGAAUUUAAUAUUAAGGUGAAAAAUCCUAUAAAAAAGAGUGGGACGACAAGACCCUAUAGAAUUUUAUGAUUUUCAAUAUUAAUAAAGUAUCAGAAAUCAUUUUGUUGGGGCAACAUAGGAAAAAGCUUCCUAAACCAAAAGUUUUAUUAUGAUAAAAAAGAAAAUCCUUUAAAAGAAUUAAAAAAAAUUACCUUAGGGAUAACAGCGUAAUCUUCUUUGAGAGACCUUAUCGACAAGAAGGUUUGCGACCUCGAUGUUGGACUAAGAUAUCUUUUAAGUUGCAGAAGCUUAAAAAAGUUAGCCUGUUCGGCUAUUAAAAUCUUACAUGAUCUGAGUUUAGGUCGGCGAGAGCUAGACCGGUUUCUAUCUACUCUUCAAAAAAUUAAACCUUCUUAUAUUACGAAAGGAACUAAGGAGAUAAAAAUUUUAUGUAAACAAUUAAUAUUUUUAUAAAAGAUAAAAAUUCUCCCUUACAA